UACGUAGGGGGCAAGCGUUGUCCGGAAUUAUUGGGCGUAAAGAGCGUGUAGGCGGUCCGGUAAGUCAGCUGUGAAAGUCAAGGGCUCAACCCUUGAAAGCCGGUUGAUACUGUCGGGCUAGAGUCCGGAAGAGGCGAGUGGAAUUCCCGGUGUAGCGGUGAAAUGCGCAGAUAUCGGGAGGAACACCAAUGGCGAAGGCAGCUCGCUGGGACGGUACUGACGCUGAGACGCGAAAGCGUGGGGGAGCAAACAGG
rnacentral:rRNA from 1 species